CUUAAAGCGGGUGUGUUACGCUAACAGUGGAUACGGUGACCAGUGCCACCAAUUAGAUCUGGUGUCACAAUAGCUUGGAUUUAAAAAAAAAAACACUUUUUUCACUGUUAUAGAUUGAAUAGCAGUCAGGGUCCUUAAAGCGGGUGUGUUACGCUAACAGUGGAUACGGUGACCAGUGCCACCAAUUAGAUCUGGUGUCACAAUAGCUUGGAUUUAAAAAAAAAAC